GAGUUAAUGCUAAUCGUGAUAGGGGUUGGCGGUUCCCAGGCACCUAGCAUGUUAGCAUUAGCUC
rfam:Tetraodon nigroviridis, WGS project CAAE01000000 data, contig: CNS0BQ6D, chromosome: undetermined